ensembl:snRNA U6 U6 spliceosomal RNA
GUGCUUGCUUUGGCAGCACAUAUACUAAAAUUGGAAUGACACAGAGAAGAUCAGCACUGCCCCUGCUCAAGGAUGACAUGCAAAUUUGUGAAGAGUUCCACAUUUUU